UAUAAAUCCAAAGAAUUUGGGGGUCCGGGUGGCCGAGGCGCUGCGCGGCGACCCUCAAUACUCUGCGAACAUGGCGCUGCGAGCGGCGCGGAGUGUUUGGGCUAUGGCCUGCAACCUGCGCUCCUGGCGGCCGGGUCGGGCGCCGUCCGGACGCUGCGCACUGGACCCCGCUCUGCUCUCAGUGCAUAAAUGUACAGAGAAACAUGAAUGGGUAACAACAGAGAAAGUGGUGUUGGAACAGUGGGAAUCAGCAAUUUUGCGCAGGAAGCUUUGGGAGAUGUUGUUUACUGUAGUCUGCCUGAAGUUGGGACAAAAUUAAACAAACAAGAUGAAUUUGGUACUCUGGAAAGUGUGAAAGCUGCUAGUGAACUCUAUUCUCCUUUAUCAGGAGAAGUAACUGAAAUUAAUGAAGCUCUGGCAGAAAACCCUGGACUUGUUAACAAAUCUUGUUAUGAAGAUGGUUGGCUGAUCAAGAUGACACUGAGUAACCCUUCAGAACUAGAUGAACUAAUGAGUGAAGAAGCAUAUGAGAAAUACAUAAAAUCUAUUGAGGAGUGAAAAUGGAACCCCUAAAUAAACUAGUGUGAAAAAACUUAA